GCUAUGAUUAGAAGCAAAGGAGAUAACAAGGUCUCUGCACUGAAAAACCUUGUUAUAUACUUGACUUUAUUUUCCAUAGGACUCAGAACAUGAUAGGUUUACUUUCAAGAUCCUCCAGAUAUGCCCUCUUAAAAUUGGAUGAAGACUUGAGAGUGAUCCAAAAGAUGGGACACAUCAAGAUUCUGCCCUGGAGCCAUCUGUCCUCUCUGCUGAAUUUGGUAACAGACUGGAGAACUUAGCUGGUAAGGCUGUACAACUUUCAGAAGCACAUAUACAAAGAGAAAUGGCAGAGUGAAAUAUUGAGUUAAGGGCUCAAC
rnacentral:lncRNA from 1 species